AAGAUUAAGCCAUGCAUGUAUAAGUAUAAACGCUUUAAGCGUGAAACCGCGAACGGCUCAUUACAACAGCUAUAAUUUACUUGAUCUUGACAAACUUACAUGGAUAACUGAGGUAAUUCUUGAGCUAAUACAUGCACCAAAGCUUUGACCGUAAGGGAAGAGCGCAUUUAUUAGAACAAAACCAAACGGCUUCGGCUGUUCCCAGUUGAAUCAGAAUAACUCAGCUGAUCGUACGGUCUUGCACCGACGACGUGUCUUUCAAGUAUCUGCUUUAUCAACUUUCGAUGGUAGGGUAUCUGCCUACCAUGGUGGUGACGGAUAACGGAGGAUCAGGGUUCGACUCCGGAGAAGGGGCCUGAGAAAUGGCCACUACGUCUAAGGAUGGCAGCAGGCGCGCAAAUUACCCACUCUCAGAAUUUGGAGGAGGUAGUGACGAGAAAUAACGAGGUUGAUCUCUUCUGAGGCCAACCAUCGGAAUGGGUACAAUUUAAACCCUUUAACGAGUAUCUAUGAGAGGGCAAGUCUGGUGCCAGCAGCCGCGGUAAUUCCAGCUCUCAAAAUGCAUAGAAUUAUUGCUGCGGUUAAAAAGCUCGUAGUUGGAUCUGCAGCCGGAGCUCCGGUCUAUCUUCGGAUAUGUACUGGAUGUCUCCGGCUUUCUGACAGUGUUCGGCUCUGUGCCUCUAACCAGGUGUGGAUGUCCGAUACUGUAAGUUUACUUUGAAUAAAUCAGAGUGCUCUAAACAGGCGUUUUGCUUGAAUGAUUGUGCAUGGAAUAAUAGAAGAGGAUUUCGGUUCUAUUUUAUUGGUUUUAUAGACUGAGAUAAUGGUUAACAGAGACAAACGGGGGCAUUUGUAUGGCUACGUGAG
rnacentral:rRNA from 1 species